GGAGUUUGAUCCUGGCUCAGAACGAACGCUGGCGGCAGGCCUAACACAUGCAAGUCGAGCGCGCUUUCGGGUGAGCGGCGGACGGGUUAGUAACGCGUGGGAACGUGCCCUUCUCUACGGAAUAGCCUCUGGAAACGGAGAGUAAUACCGUAUACGCCCUUUGGGGGAAAGAUUUAUCGGAGAAGGAUCGGCCCGCGUUAGAUUAGGUAGUUGGUGGGGUAACGGCCUACCAAGCCUACGAUCUAUAGCUGGUUUUAGAGGAUGAUCAGCAACACUGGGACUGAGACACGGCCCAGACCCCUACGGGAGGCAGCAGUGGGGAAUCUUAGACAAUGGGGGCAACCCUGAUCUAGCCAUGCCGCGUGAGUGAUGAAGGCCUUAGGGUCGUAAAGCUCUUUCGCCUGUGAUGAUAAUGACAGUAGCAGGUAAAGAAACCCCGGCUAACUCCGUGCCAGCAGCCGCGGUAAUACGGAGGGGGUUAGCGUUGUUCGGAAUUACUGGGCGUAAAGCGCGCGUAGGCGGAUUAGAAAGUUGGGGGUGAAAUCCCGGGGCUCAACCUCGGAACUGCCUCCAAAACUGCUAGUCUAGAGUUCGAGAGAGGUGAGUGGAAUUCCGAGUGUAGAGGUGAAAUUCGUAGAUAUUCGGAGGAACACCAGUGGCGAAGGCGGCUCACUGGCUCGAUACUGACGCUGAGGUGCGAAAGUGUGGGGAGCAAACAGGAUUAGAUACCCUGGUAGUCCACACCGUAAACGAUGAAUGCCAGUCGUCGGGUAGUAUACUAUUCGGUGACACACCUAACGGAUUAAGCAUUCCGCCUGGGGAGUACGGUCGCAAGAUUAAAACUCAAAGGAAUUGACGG
rnacentral:rRNA from 1 species